CAAUGGACGAAAGUCUGAUGGAGCAACGCCGCGUGAGUGAAGAAGGGUUUCGGCUCGUAAAACUCUGUUGUUAAAGAAGAACAUAUCUGAGAGUAACUGUUCAGGUAUUGACGGUAUUUAACCAGAAAGCCACGGCUAACUACGUGCCAGCAGCCGCGGUAAUACGUAGGUGGCAAGCGUUGUCCGGAUUUAUUGGGCGUAAAGCGAGCGCAGGCGGUUUUUUAAGUCUGAUGUGAAAGCCUUCGGCUCAACCGAAGAAGUGCAUCGGAAACUGGGAAA
rnacentral:rRNA from 1 species